UUGACCUCAAAUCGGGUGAGACUACCCGCUGAACUUAAGCAUAUCAAUAAGCGGAGGAAAAGAAACUAACAAGGAUUCCCCUAGUAACUGCGAGUGAAGCGGGAAAAGCUCAAAUUUGGAAUCUGGUGGUCUUUGGCCAUCCGAGUUGUAAUUUAGAGAAGCGUCUUCCGCGCUGGACCRUGCACAAGUCUCCUGGAAUGGAGCGUCAUAGAGGGUGAGAAUCCCGUCUUUGGCAUGGAAUCCCAGGGCUUCUGUGAUGCGCUCUCGACGAGUCGAGUUGUUUGGGAAUGCAGCUCAAAAUGGGUGGUGAACUCCAUCUAAAGCUAAAUAUUGGCGAGAGACCGAUAGCGAACAAGUACCGUGAGGGAAAGAUGAAAAGCACUUUGGAAAGAGAGUGAAACAGUACGUGAAAUUGUUGAAAGGGAAACGCUUGAAGUCAGUCGCGUCGACCGAGACUCAGCCUUGCCUCGGCUUGGUGUACUUCUCGGCUUGACGGGUCAGCAUCGAUUUCGAUCCUCGGAUAAUGGCAAGGGAAAGGUGGCACCUUUUUAGGUGUGUUAUAGUCCUCUGUCGCAUGCGAGGGUCGGGAUCGAGGAACUCAGCACGCACCUCAGGGUGUCGGGGCCUYGGCCCACGUUUACGUGCUYAGGAUGCUGGCGUAAUGGCUUUAAACGACCCGUC
rnacentral:rRNA from 1 species